AACGAACGCUGGCGGCAUGCCUAACACAUGCAAGUCGAACGAGACCUUCGGGUCUAGUGGCGCACGGGUGCGUAACGCGUGGGAACCUGCCCUUAGGUUCGGAAUAACUCCCCGAAAGGGGUGCUAAUACCGGAUAAUGUCUUCGGACCAAAGAUUUAUCGCCUUUGGAUGGGCCCGCGUUGGAUUAGCUAGUUGGUAGGGUAAAAGCCUACCAAGGCGACGAUCCAUAGCUGGUCGGAGAGGAUGAUCAGCUACACUGGGAAUGAGACACGGCCCAGACUCCGACGGGGGGGAGCAGUGGGGAAUAUUGGACAAUGGGCGAAAGCGUGAUCAAGCAAUGCCGGGUGAGUGAUGAAGGCGUUAGGGUUGUAAAGCUGUUUUACACGGGAUGAUAAUGACAGUACCGGGAGAAGAAGCUCCGGCUAACUACGUG
rnacentral:rRNA from 1 species